AACUCUCACCCUCAAACCCUUUGGAUUUGUGUGACAGAGUCCAACAUUGGAAUUGGUAGCAGCUAAGAAGUUAAAAGCUGGUGUUUGUGUUGAUGCAAAUUACCUGGCUGGCAGGGAG